rnacentral:rRNA from 1 species
GCUCGGGGAGGUAGUGACGAAAAAUAACAAUACGGGACUCAUCCGAGGCCCCGUAAUUGGAAUGACUACAAUUUAAAUCCUUUAAGAAGGAUCCAUUGGAGGGCAAGUCUGGUGCCAGCAGCCGCGGUAAUUCCAGCUCCAAUAGCGUAUAUUAAAGUUGCUGCAGUUAAAAAGCUCGUAGUUGGAUCUCAGUUACGGGCAGGUGGUUCACUUUACAGUGCUACUACCUGAACCGAACCUAUUGCUGGAUCUCUUGGGUGCCCUUCACUGGGUGCCCCUUGAGACCAGAGCGUUUACUUUGAGAAAAUUAGAGUGCUCAAAGCAGGCGAAUGCCUGAAUAGUUGUGCAUGGAAUAAUGAAAUAUGGCCUCGGUACUGUUUUGUUGGUUCACGGUGCUCGAGGUAAUGGUUGAAAGGGACUGACGGGGGCAUUCGUAUUGCGACGUUAGAGGUGAAAUUCUUAGAUCGUCGCAAGACGGACUACUGCGAAAGCAUUUGCCAAGAAUGUCUUCAUUAAUCAAGAACGAAAGUCAGAGGUUCGAAGGCGAUCAGAUACCGCCCUAGUUCUGACCUUAAACGAUGCUAACUGGCGAUCCAGUAGGGGUAUUUAAAAUGACCCGCUGGGCAGCUUCUGGGAAACCAAAGUUUUUGGGUUCCGGGGGAAGUAUGGUUGCAAAGCUGGAACUUAAAGGAAUUGACGGAAGGGCACCACCAGGAGUGGAGCCUGUGGCUUAAUUUGACUCAACACGGGAAACCUCACCAGGCCCAGACACUAGAAGGAUUGACAGAUUGAGAGCUCUUUCUUGAUUUGGUGGAUGGUGGUGCAUGGCCGUUCUUAGUUGGUGGGAGUGAUUUGUCUGGUUAAUUCCGAUAACGAACGAGACUUUAGCCUACUAAAUAGAUGGCGGAUACUCAAAAGAGUCCGCAUCGUCUUCUUAGAGGGACAAGGCAGCUUCAAGCUGCAUGAGAAAAAGGCAAUAAC